GUCCCUGUCGAUUAGUGGUUAGAUCAUCACAUUGUGGCUGUGAAGACGCAGGCUCGACUCCUGCCCGGGACA
rnacentral:tRNA from 1 species